UGCAAUUAGUAUACAUUUGCCGAUACUUCUAUUUUUAUCUCUCAAUACAUUGAAGUACAAUAGGGACAUGCUUAUACAAAUAAGUAGACGUGGUAUGAUUACCAAUGAGACAAAUCUCAAUCAGAAACCAAAUGGCUAAACGACUAUAGUACAUCGGACGGCCUUCAACAAUGAGUAAAACCCAUACUGCAUAGUAAGCUAUGAAAGGCCCC
rnacentral:lncRNA from 1 species